CCCGGGGGCGGCAGCUUACACAUGCAGUCGAGCGGUAACAGGGGUAGCUUGCUACCCGCUGACGAGCGGCGGACGGGUGAGUAAUGCAUAGGAAUCUGCCCAGUAGUUGGGGAUAGCCCGGGGAAACCCGGAUUAAUACCGAAUACGCCCUACGGGGGAAAGCAGGGGAUCUUUGGACCUUGCGCUAUUGGAUGAGCCUAUGUCGGAUUAGCUAGUUGGUGGGGUAAAGGCCUACCAAGGCGACGAUCCGUAGCUGGUCUGAGAGGAUGAUCAGCCACAUCGGGACUGAGACACGGCCCGAACUCCUACGGGAGGCAGCAGUGGGGAAUAUUGGACAAUGGGGGCAACCCUGAUCCAGCCAUGCCGCGUGUGUGAAGAAGGCUUUCGGGUUGUAAAGCACUUUCAGUGAGGAGGAAAACCUUAUGGCUAAUACCCAUGAGGCUUGACGUUACUCACAGAAGAAGCACCGGCUAACUCCGUGCCAGCAGCCGCGGUAAU
rnacentral:rRNA from 1 species